UUAAGAGCUCACUAGCUUCGGAGUCAAUGGAACUCCGAAGUUAAGCGAGUUUGGGCUAGAGCAAUUCCAAGAUGGGUGACCCACUGGGAAGUUGCUCGUGAGUUUCUAGA
rnacentral:rRNA from 1 species